UACGUAGGUGGCAAGCGUUGUCCGGAUUUACUGGGCGUAAAGGGCGUGCAGGCGGUCUGUUAAGUCUAGGGUGAAAGCUCCCGGCUCAACUGGGAGAGGUCCUUGGAUACUGGCGGACUUGAGGGAGGCAGAGGAGUAUGGAAUUCCCGGUGUAGUGGUGAUAUGCGUAGAUAUCGGGAGGAACACCAGUGGCGAAGGCGGGUUGCUGGGCUGACACUGACGCUGAGGCGCGAAAGCGUGGGGAGCAAACAGG
rnacentral:rRNA from 1 species